UUAAUUCCAAUUUGUAUGGAGUUGGAACGUUUGCCUACGUUUGCCGCUAGAGGCGCUGUUCCAGCUCCAUACAAAUUUGCGUUA
rfam:Bombyx mori DNA, contig: Bm_scaf102_contig36283, strain: p50T/Dazao, build 2, whole genome shotgun sequence.